rnacentral:piRNA from 1 species
CCCCUAUCCAAGCUACAGCACAG